rnacentral:rRNA from 1 species
GGAUUAGCGUAUCGGUCGUGCCUUCUUGGCAUGCACUGGUAGUUGUUAAUCUCCACCUUCUAGCGAAUCGUUAUGUCUUUUAUUAGGCGUAGCGGGGAACUAGGACUGUUACUUUGAAAAAAUUAGAGUGUUUAAAGCAAGCUUUAUGCUUGAAUACAUUAGCAUGGAAUAAUGAAAUAGGACGGCAUGAUUCUAUUUUGUUGGUUUCUAGGAUCACCGUA